rnacentral:rRNA from 1 species
GGUAACAGGAAGCAGCUUGCUGUUUCGCUGACGAGUGGCGGACGGGUGAGUAAUGUCUGGGAAACUGCCUGAUGGAGGGGGAUAACUACUGGAAACGGUAGCUAAUACCGCAUAACGUCGCAAGACCAAAGAGGGGGACCUUCGGGCCUCUUGCCAUCGGAUGUGCCCAGAUGGGAUUAGCUAGUAGGUGGGGUAACGGCUCACCUAGGCGACGAUCCCUAGCUGGUCUGAGAGGAUGACCAGCCACACUGGAACUGAGACACGGUCCAGACUCCUACGGGAGGCAGCAGUGGGGAAUAUUGCACAAUGGGCGCAAGCCUGAUGCAGCCAUGCCGCGUGUAUGAAGAAGGCCUUCGGGUUGUAAAGUACUUUCAGCGGGGAGGAAGGGAGUAAAGUUAAUACCUUUGCUCAUUGACGUUACCCGCAGAAGAAGCACCGGCUAACUCCGUGCCAGCAGCCGCGGUAAUACGGAGGGUGCAAGCGUUAAUCGGAAUUACUGGGCGUAAAGCGCACGCAGGCGGUUUGUUAAGUCAGAUGUGAAAUCCCCGGGCUCAACCUGGGAACUGCAUCUGAUACUGGCAAGCUUGAGUCUCGUAGAGGGGGGUAGAAUUCCAGGUGUAGCGGUGAAAUGCGUAGAGAUCUGGAGGAAUACCGGUGGCGAAGGCGGCCCCCUGGACGAAGACUGACGCUCAGGUGCGAAAGCGUGGGGAGCAAACAGGAUU